UCGCCGGAGGAUCGGCCCGCGUCUGAUUAGCUAGUUGGUGGGGUAAUGGCCCACCAAGGCGACGAUCAGUAGCUGGUCUGAGAGGAUGAUCAGCCACACUGGGACUGAGACACGGCCCAG
rnacentral:rRNA from 1 species